UCCUGGCUCAGAUUGAACGCUGGCGGCAUGCUUUACACAUGCAAGUCGAACGGCAGCACGGGAGCUUGCUCCUGGUGGCGAGUGGCGAACGGGUGAGUAAUGCAUCGGAACGUACCCAGUAGUGGGGGAUAGCCCGGCGAAAGCCGGAUUAAUACCGCAUAUUUCCUGAGGGAGAAAGCGGGGGACCUUCGGGCCUCGCGCUACUGGAGCGGCUGAUGUCGGAUUAGCUAGUUGGUGAGGUAAAGGCUCACCAAGGCGACGAUCCGUAGCUGGUCUGAGAGGAUGAUCAGCCACACUGGGACUGAGACACGGCCCAGACUCCUACGGGAGGCAGCAGUGGGGAAUUUUGGACAAUGGGGGCAACCCUGAUCCAGCCAUGCCGCGUGAGUGAAGAAGGCCUUCGGGUUGUAAAGCUCUUUCAGGUGGAAAGAAAUCACUACCCCGAAUACGGGUGGUGGAUGACGGUACCAUCAGAAGAAGCACCGGCUAACUACGUG
rnacentral:rRNA from 1 species